GAGUUUGAUCUUGGCUCAGAUUGAACGCUGGCGGCGUGCUUAACACAUGCAAGUCGAGCGGUAACAGGUGUAGCAAUACAUGCUGACGAGCGGCGAACGGGUGAGUAAUGCUUCGGAAUCUGCCCAGUAGUGGGGAAUAACCAGCCGAAAGGUUGGCUAAUACCGCAUACGAACUACGGUUGAAAGCGGGGGAUCGCAAGACCUCGCGCUAUUGGAUGAGCCGAAGUCGGAUUAGCUAGUUGGUAGGGUAACGGCCUACCAAGGCGACAAUCCGUAGCUGGUCUGAGAGGACGACCAGCCACACUGGGACUGAGACACGGCCCAGACUCCUACGGGAGGCAGCAGUGGGGAAUAUUGGACAAUGGGGGCAACCCUGAUCCAGCGACGCCGCAUGUGUGAAGAAGGCCUGCGGGUUGUAAAGCACUUUUAGUGGGGAUGAAAAAGCGCGAGGCUAACACCGUCGCGUCUUGACCUAACCCAAAGAAAAAGCACCGGCUAACUCUGUGCCAGCAGCCG
rnacentral:rRNA from 1 species